GAUGAACGCUAGCGGGAGGCCUAACACAUGCAAGCCGAGCGGGAUUUGAGACUAGCUUGCUAGUCUUAAUGAGAGCGGCGUACGGGUGCGGAACACGUGUGCAACCUGCCUUUAUCUGGGAGAUAGCCUUUCGAAAGGAAGAUUAAUAACCCAUAAUAUAAUGAUUGGCAUCAAUUAUUAUUGAAAGCUCCGGCGGAUAGAGAUGGGCACGCGCAAGAUUAGAUAGUUGGUGAGGUAACGGCUCACCAAGUCGAUGAUCUUUAGGGGGCCUGAGAGGGUGAUCCCCCACACUGGUACUGAGACACGGACCAGACUCCUACGGGAGGCAGCAGUGAGGAAUAUUGGACAAUGGGUGAAAGCUUGAUCCAGCCAUCCCGCGUGAAGGAUUAAGGACCUAUGGUUUGUAAACUUCUUUUCUACAGGGAUAAACCUACUCUCGUGAGAGUAGCUGAAGGUACUGUAGGAAUAAGCACCGGCUAACUCCGUGCCAGCAGCCGCGGUAACAC
rnacentral:rRNA from 1 species